GCGGAGACCGCGAACACGCCGGUCAAGCGAAUCUAUCUCUGCGUUCAGCAGAUGUAUCUCGAAGACGACAUACCGAAAUAUCAGGAUCUCUAUCUCGGCUUCGUCAAGGAUUUGCUGGAAGCAGUGCCGAGUUUCCGCAGCCACAUAGAGGCCGCAAGUAAUCUUAUUUUAAGCGGUUAUCUUUACAAAGCUCUAAGAGAAAUCAGGAAACUGAUAACUCGCGAAGACGAACUCCUAUCGAGGUGAUGAAUGUCUAACGCUGCCCAAGCCUAC
rnacentral:misc_RNA from 1 species